AUGGCCAUACAUUAUACGCCUCUGAUCGCUGCUAUCCAUGUUCGCUCACUGAAGUGUGUGAAACUUCUGAUUAAGGCGGGUGCUGACGUAAAGGGUGUUGGUCCACUAACCCCCUUAAUAGCCGCUGCAGAUGAUGGUUUAACUGAUUUCUACAAACCUUUACUUGCGGCUGGUGCUGAUCCUGAUGUCCGCGAUGAUGGAGCUCAACUGCCAAUUGAGAUUGCUGCACGUAACAAUAGACGGAAAGAUGUUGAGAUCCUUUUUCCGGUAACAUCUCGUGUUCCAUAUGUGCGUGAUUGGAGUGUUGAUGGAAUACUUGCGUAUGUCAAAUCAGUGCCAAACGAGGAGGACGACCCAUUGUACAAAAUGGGGCCAGCUUAUCUGAAAUCAGAAGGAAACAAGGCAUACAAGAGAAAAGAUUAUGUUUCUGCAAUAAAUUUCUACAACAUGGCAACCAAGCUUGAUCCUGAAGAUGUAGCCUUGCAUUCAAAUAGGAGUAUUUGCUGGAUUAACUUGGGUGAAGGAGACAAGGCCUUGGAGGCAGCCGAAAUGUGCAGGAUGAUACGUCCUGAUUGGCCAAAGGCCUGUUACAGGCAAGGGGCGGCCCAAAUGUUUUUGAAGAACUAUGAAAAGGCAUGUGAUGCAUUUCAAGAUGGUCUGAAGUUGGACCCGACAGAUGUUGAGAUUGAGAACGCAUUAUGCGAGGCAUUCAACUCGAUGAAGAUAUCUCGUGCCAAAACGGUCUCAUGA
rnacentral:rRNA from 1 species